CUUGAACGCUGGCGGCAGUCCUAACACAUGCAAGUCGAACGAGUGGCGGACGGGUGAGUAAUGUCUGGGAACCUGCCCGAUGGAGGGUGAUAACUACUGGAAACGGUAGCUAAUACCGCAUACCAUCGGAUGUGCCCAGAUGGGAUUAGCUAGUAGGGGGGGUAACGGUUCACCGAGGCGACGAUCCCUAGCUGGGCGGAGAGGAUGACCAGCCACACUGGACAUGAGACACGGUCCAGACUCCUACGGGAGGCAGCAGUGGGGAAUAUUGCACAAUGGGCGCAAGCCUGAUGCAGCCAUGCCGCGUGUAUGAAGAAGGCCUUCGGGUUGUAAAGUACUUUCAGCGAGGAGGCGUUACUCGCAGAAGAAGCACCGGCUAACUCCGUGCCAGCAGCCGCGGUAAUUC
rnacentral:rRNA from 1 species